rnacentral:rRNA from 1 species
UCAGGAUGAACGCUAGCUACAGGCUUAACACAUGCAAGUCGAGGGGCAGCAUUGGGAUAGCUGCUAUUCAGAUGGCGACCGGCGCACGGGUGAGUAACGCGUAUCCAACCUCCUGCCAGUAGGGAACAGCCCGGCGAAAGUCGGAUUAAUGCCCUAUGUUCUUCAAUGCGGACAUCUAAGUUGAAGGAAAGAUUCAUCGCUGGCAGAUGGGGAUGCGUCCGAUUAGCUUGCCGGCGGGGUAACGGCCCACCGGGGCGACGAUCGGUAGGGGUUCUGAGAGGAAGGUCCCCCACACUGGUACUGAGACACGGACCAGACUCCUACGGGAGGCAGCAGUGAGGAAUAUUGGUCAAUGGGCGUAAGCCUGAACCAGCCAAGUAGCGUGCAGGAAUGACGGCCCUACGGGUUGUAAACUGCUUUUAUGCGGGGAUAAAGUGCGGCACGUGUGCCGCUUUGCAGGUACCGCAUGAAUAAGGACCGGCUAAUUCCGUGCCAGCCGCUGC